rnacentral:pre_miRNA from 1 species
AAUAAACCAAUUUUUCACUUUUUACAUAUAAUUUUUGACUCUUCGUCUUAUUCAAAAAAUUUUUGUGAUUGAUAUUUUUGUUUUUAUUAGAUGAUAAAUCAUAAAUAGCACUUUAUAUGUGACUAAUUUUUUUCUAAUUUUUUUUAAAAAAUUUAAAUAAAACGAAUAAUCAAACAUUAAACACGAAAACCGAAG